GACUGAGACACGGCCCAGACUCCUACGGGAGGCAGCAGUGGGGAAUAUUGGACAAUGGGCGCAAGCGUAUCCAGCCAUUCCGCGAGGUUUAAGGAGGCCUUUUUGUUUUUAAGCAAUUUAAGGGAGGAGGAGGCUACCUUAGGUAAAACCUUGAGAAAGUGGAUGUUACCUCCAGAAGAAGCACCGGCUAACUCUGUUCCAGCCGGCGCCGUAAUACCGAGGGUACAAGCUUUAAUCGGAUUUACUGGGCGUAAAGCGCGCGGAGGCGGGUUAUUAAGUCAAAUGUUAAAUCCCCGAGCUUGACUUGGGAAUUGCCUUCCAUACUGGUUAGC
rnacentral:rRNA from 1 species